rnacentral:lncRNA from 1 species
UAAAAGCUUCAGCAGUUUGAUUUAUCUGUUUGCUUUUCAUCUUAAUCAUGUCCACCUCCUUAUAUGUCCACAGUUUUGGGUCAGCUUCUCACAGUGAAAGGAUGGACACGAACACCUGUUGACCUUCCAAAUCUGAAAUGCUGGAAAAACAACAACGCACACUUCACCCCUCCCCUCCCCAGCUGUAAUGGAGACGUGGAAGCACACUUUGUUCAGGAGCUUCUGUUGAAACUACCAGAAUUUCUGCUCUCACUCCAGAGGGAUUAGCAUCCUUAAGCCCGCGUUGGAGCUCCAGCCGGCCAAGAGCAAACAAACAAGCAAGCACUUUGUUUUUGGUUUUUCUCCCUUUAAUGGAGGUGCUCCACCUCCUGCUGACCAAUAGGAGUCCUGCCUUAUGUUAUUGGGGAAGAAGCCAAGAUGGCUGUGUAAGUACUGAUGUUGCUCCAUGCCCUGUGUGGUUAGUUUGUUU